GGGUAUGUAGCAAAACGGCUAUGCACCGGGCUUUUAACCCGUGAUACGCAGGUUCGACUCCUGUCAUACCCA
rnacentral:tRNA from 1 species